GGGGGGGCGGCGGCUAUGAUGCAGUCGUACGAACUUUCUUACACCGAAUGCUUGCAUUCACCGUAAGAAGUUGAGUGGCGGACGGGUGAGUAACACGUGGGUAACCUGCCUAAAAGAAGGGGAUAACACUUGGAAACAGGUGCUAAUACCGUAUAUCUCUAAGGAUCGCAUGAUCCUUAGAUGAAAGAUGGUUCUGCUAUCGCUUUUAGAUGGACCCGCGGCGUAUUAACUAGUUGGUGGGGUAACGGCCUACCAAGGUGAUGAUACGUAGCCGAACUGAGAGGUUGAUCGGCCACAUUGGGACUGAGACACGGCCCAAACUCCUACGGGAGGCAGCAGUAGGGAAUCUUCCACAAUGGACGCAAGUCUGAUGGAGCAACGCCGCGUGAGUGAAGAAGGUCUUCGGAUCGUAAAACUCUGUUGUUAGAGAAGAACACGAGUGAGAGUAACUGUUCAUUCGAUGACGGUAUCUAACCAGCAAGUCACGGCUAACUACGUGCCAGCAGCCGCGGUAAUACGUAGGUGGCAAGCGUUGUCCGGAUUUAUUGGGCGUAAAGGGAACGCAGGCGGUCUUUUAAGUCUGAUGUGAAAGCCUUCGGCUUAACCGGAGUAGUGCAUUGGAAACUGGAAGACUUGAGUGCAGAAGAGGAGAGUGGAACUCCAUGUGUAGCGGUGAAAUGCGUAGAUAUAUGGAAGAACACCAGUGGCGAAAGCGGCUCUCUGGUCUGUAACUGACGCUGAGGUUCGAAAGCGUGGGUAGCAAACAGGAUUAGAUACCCUGGUAGUCCACGCCGUAAACGAUGAAUGCUAGGUGUUGGAGGGUUUCCGCCCUUCAGUGCCGCAGCUAACGCAAUAAGCAUUCCGCCUGGGGAGUACGACCGCAAGGUUGAAACUCAAAGGAAAUUUGACGGGAAAAANNAAANAAAGGAAGGANNGAGNAANAAGG
rnacentral:rRNA from 2 species